rnacentral:rRNA from 1 species
CCUACGGGAGGCAGCAGUGAGGAAUAUUGGUCAAUGGUCGGGAGACUGAACCAGCCAAGCCGCGUGAGGGAUGAAGGUACAGAGUAUCGUAAACCUCUUUUGUCAGGGAACAAAGGCGGGGACGCGUCCCCGGAUGAGUGUACCUGAAGAAAAAGCAUCGGCUAACUCCGUGCCAGCCGCCGCGGUAAUACGGGGGAUGCGAGCGUUAUACGGAUUUAUUGGGGUUAAAGGGUGGGCAGGCGGUCUGUUAAGUCAGGGGUCAAAGCCGGGGGCCAAACCCCGGCCCGCCGUUGAAACUGGCAGUCUCGAGUUGGAGAGAAGUAUGCGGAAUGCGCGGUGUAGCGGUGAAAUGCAUAGAUAUCGCGCAGAACUCAGAUUGCGAAGGCAGCAUGCCGGCUCCACACUGACGCUGAGGCACGAAAGCGUGGGUAUCGAACAGGAUUAGAUACCCGGGUAGUC